UACGUAGGUGACAAGCGUUGUCCGGAUUUACUGGGCGUAAAGAGCGCGCAGGCGGUCGAUCAAGUCGAGUGUGAAAGCCCCCGGCUCAACUGGGGAGGGUCAUUCGAUACUGAUCGACUCGAAGGCAGGAGAGGGUAGUGGAAUUCCCGGUGUAGUGGUGAAAUGCGUAGAUAUUGGGAAGAACACCGGUGGCGAAGGCGGCUCUCUGGACCGAGACUGACGCUGAGGCGCGAAAAGCGUGGGGGAGCAAACAGGG
rnacentral:rRNA from 1 species